rnacentral:rRNA from 1 species
UGGGGAAUAUUGCACAAUGGGCGCAAGCCUGAUGCAGCCAUGCCGCGUGUAUGAAGAAGGCCUUCGGGUUGUAAAGUACUUUCAGCGGGGAGGAAGGUGUUGUGGUUAAUAACCUCAGCAAUUGACGUUACCCGCAGAAGAAGCCCCGGCUAACUCCGUGCCAGCAGCCGCGGUAAUACGGAGGGUGCAAGCGUUCAUCGGAAUUACUGGGCGUAAAGCGCACGCAGGCGGUCUGUCAAGUCGGAUGUGAAAUCCCCGGGCUCAACCUGGGAACUGCAUCCGAAACUGGCAGGCUUGAGUCUUGUAGAGGGGGGUAGAAUUCCAGGUGUAGCGGUGAAAUGCGUAGAGAUCUGGAGGAAUACCGGUGGCGAAGGCGGCCCCCUGGACAAAGACUGACGCUCAGGUGCGAAAGCGUGGGGAGCAAACA